UUGCUUUGGCAUCAACCAUACUAAAACUGGAACAAUACAGAGAAGAUUAGCAUGGCCUCUUUGCAAGGAUGACAAAAAAAAAAGAAAGAAAGAAAACCUAUCU